rnacentral:rRNA from 1 species
GGGGAAUAUUGGACAAUGGGCGCAAGCCUGAUCCAGCAAUACCGCGUGUGUGAAGAAGGCCUUAGGGUUGUAAAGCACUUUCAAUGGGGAGGAAAAAGAGUAAGCUAAUACCUUGCUUAUUGACAUUACCCAUACAAGAAGCACCGGCUAACUCCGUGCCAGCAGCCGCGGUAAUACGGAGGGUGCAAGCGUUAAUCGGAAUUACUGGGCGUAAAGCGUGCGUAGGCGGCUCGUUAAGUCAGAUGUGAAAGCCCUGGGCUCAACCUGGGAACUGCAUUUGAAACUGGCGAGCUAGAGUUGAGUAGAGGUAAGUGGAAUUUCAGGUGUAGCGGUGAAAUGCGUAGAUAUCUGAAGGAACACCAGUGGCGAAGGCGACUUACUGGACUCAAACUGACGCUGAGGUACGAAAGCGUGGGUAGCAAAC